rnacentral:lncRNA from 1 species
AUGAGAAAGACUCACAGACCAGAAAACUUGACCCGCAAGUCGCUUGCCUAGUUCACCAACCCAACCAGAGGUGGAACAUGCAAUGAUUUGAGUCACGUUACGCACUCCAACUUCCUCAACGAUCCCAUUUACCAGCGAUGUUAAGGCAGUGACAUCGGUUUUUAUAUCAGAAACAUCAGAGGAUUUCAGAUACACUGCCCCAGCUGGACAGUCUACAACGAAAGAAACCAGAUCACGGCCUUUCGGGCCAAUCCAUGUAUCCAAGAGGAUGCUGCACCCGGUGAUCUCCCAUGAAUCUUUAAUAUCCUUCACCCGAUAUUGAACUUUCUUCAAUGCUUCUUGAAACAUCCAGCCGUUUAAAUCACGAGGGUCAGGGAUCUUCUCACCACCACCACCAUCUUCUUCUACUGUAGUCAUCAUCAUCAUCAUCUCUUUGAAACUUGUCGAAUCCACAGCUGAGGAGUCGACACCGUGUUCAUAAAAGAACCGAGCAACGAGCAUUUGGGCUUGUUUGUCAGCUUCAGCAGCUAUCUCAGAAGCAGUAAAACUUCUGCUGGGUCUUCCACGUUUACGAUCAGGAUAUCUUUGGUCCAUAACCAUGUUAAAAAACGCCUCUUUAGUAGGUCCUGGAACUUGUGAGCAUGGGGUAACGUCUUUACAGACAUUUCCCAAAUGAUACUUGAGACGACCAAAGUCAGUUAUUCGCUUUUCGCAAUACUUGCACUGAACCCGAGCUCCAUCCUCCACCCAAGUUCCAUGUUCAUAAACACUCAUCACGGUGCUAGCCAUUGAAAGAUUCACUUAAAUUAACCUGCACCAGUAUAUAUAUUCAAAAUUUGAAUGGCUUUAAUUAGUUUGACAUAGAAUUUCUCAACUUGACGAAGCUUUAUAUCCUACAUUGACGACAAAACCGACCAUGAUCAUGUUCAAACAACCAGCAAAAGAGACAAACGAAAUGGUAGACUGCAGCCCCAUAUAAAUUAUCUUAAGAAUUAUCGAAAUCUUUUGUUUUUGAGAGAACUAUAUCAGAAAGAAAAAAUCGACCAUAUAACUUCAAACAUGGCUCAUCUAUGAUGACACAUAAGAUCAAAGAAAACAAUUUUCUUAUCGAAGAACUCACGAAAACAAGACAAAAAGAGAGAGAACAAUCUCGUUGUUAUUGGAACAUGACGAGAGAAUAAAAACCUGAGAGUGAUUGUGUCAAAAGGGAGUCAAAGCCUCGGGUCGGAUUACAGGCCACGACGAAACCAGGAAGAGAGAUCAAAAGUCACGAACUCUUCUUGAGAGAUAAAUUUUGUUUUGACGAUGUGAAUAAUUGUGUGUACAUGAGAGCAUUAGUCGUUUUGUUGGAUAUUUUUAAAUCAACAUUAGUCGCUCUCUCAUUAGUCAAAUGAAGAUAAGAAGUUGCAUUUGUUAAGCUUCUAAUGGAAAGUAAUCUUUCACUUUUAAAUUUUAACUUUUUUAACUAGGUAAUUUCCCGCGCGCUAUGCGUGUAUUUUACGGUAAGUUAUUUCUACUUUUUGAAGUGAUGUUGAACAUUAGUCUCUCUCUCAUUAGUCAAAUGAAGAUAAUAAAUACAUUAAUUAGGCUUCUAAUUUUUAAAUUUUGUACUAGGUAAUUUCCCGCGUCCUAUGCGUGUAUUUUACGGCAAGUCAUUUCUAAUUUUUUUGAAGUGAUGUUGAAUGAGAUUACAUUGAACAUUUUUCUCUCUCUCUCAUUAGUCAAAUGAAGAUAAGAAAUGCAUUAAUUAGGCUUCUAAUGGAAAAUAAUCUUUUACUUUUAAAUUUUAUACUAGGUAAUUUCCCUCGUCCUAUGCGUGUAUUUUACGGCAAGUAAUUUGUACAUUUUGAAAUGGUGUUGAAUGUAUAUGUUUUGUUUUAACAAAUUUAACGUCAUUUAAUUAUAAUUUUUGGGGUUUUAUGUAGACAAUAAACGAACUUAUAGAUGAAAAUGUGAAGUUUUAGUUAUUUGGAAAAAAUAUUAAAUAUUGAUUAUAUCAAGAAAAAGUGAUUGUUUAACAUAAUGUCGUGUUUCUCUAUAAUGUAUCUCAAAUUUGAGUUUGAAAGUGAAGAAUUUGUUUUGACUCCGUAAAUAAUUGUGUUUACAUGAACAUUAGUCUUUCUCUCAUUAGUCAAAAAAGAUAAGAAAUGUUGUAGUUUUUAGAAUUUCUUGUUUUCUAUGCCUUUGUAGACUCUUAAAACAAUCUUAAAACUGAAGAUUCACCACUUGUAGACUCUUGACAACUUUUCUAUGCCUUGUACAAAUUAAGCAAGCAAGCUUCUAUAUUCAUUCAACAGUUAGUUUCUGAAAUGAAAACAAUUCAGUGUUUGUUCAUGAUCUCUGACAUGGUUUAUGUGCACCCGAUUUUUUUUUUCUAGAAUGGGAACGUCAGAGAACAUUCAGUUAACUAGUAAGGAGAUGCUGAAACAAUAUCCUUACUUAGUAAUUCAGCUUCUUCUCUCAGUACAAAAGAGUUAAAUUACAAAUAUAAACAUCUAAUGAGGACAAACCUAAUUAUAAUUACACAAAAUAAGGGCAGCAACAUGUCCUUUUCAAAACCCACCAGACAGCAAAACCAGUCACAUGGUCAAAAGUUCACAUUGAAAAGGUUUUGUCAGGUUAAUCAGUUACUCGUUCGAGAUAACACAAUGACCAGCUGAAACAAAGAUGCAAUCCAGAACUCAUCAGAAGGUUGAAUUUCUAAGAAGUUAUUGUUUGAGGAUGCUUUCGUAGUUACCGUUGGAUCAGCAAGAGAGACAUGAAGAUAUUCUUCAUACAUCUCACCAUUUCAUCAGUAAAUAGAUUAAGGUGAUCCCACAGGUACUUAGGUGGCAUUCCUACAUUUGUCUUUCUCAUAAGCAUCUUUUCAAGAAAGUGAUUACGCUUAGUGUGCAACAAUGUCAAUAGAUUAGGAUCCAAUGUUUUUUGGUUUAGUGUGCAAACAUGUCAGAUACGUUUCUUCUUUCAUGUAAACUGUAUCCAAAGGGUUUAGGGAAAGAAGAAUAUCAGUUUAUACCUCAACAGUUGAUUCCGAUGAAAGUUCUUGGUAUUGGACUUCUGCGGAUUGAUGUAAGUCGGUUUUUGAAUCAUUCAUAGAUCUUAAGGAAGAAGAAUAAUUCUGCAUAACUAAGCAACUUUAUAUGCCUUGUACAAACUAAGCAAGCAAGCUCUUAUUGUUUUUCAUCAAGAAAUGCAUAUAUUCAUUCAAAAGGUAAACAAUCUAGAGUAAGUUGAAAAGAAAAAAUGGUAAUCAUAACUUAUAUUUCAAAACUUGAGAUUCAUACAUCCUCAGAAGUUCGGCAAUUAUUACCAUAAAACCAAAUGAUGAACUUCUCCAACAAAUGUACUUCAGCUUUCUUCUCUUAAGUACAAACCAUCUAAAUUACAUAAUCCCUGCACAGAUCCAAUUCACAUAAUAAAUGAGACAGGAUAACAUUUAGAAGAACACACCAAUGUUGUCUACUAAGCACAAGAAUUUGGAGAUUUGACAAUGGUUUUUCUUAGCACAUGGAGUCUAAGUAAAAGAUGAAACGGCAAGAGAAGACACUGCUACAACUGUGAACAUCUAAUUAUAAGGACAAAUCUCAUUAUAAUCAACCAAAAUAAGCACAGCAACAUUUCCAUACAUUUGCUCGAUUCACCAGCAUUGAUGAAGAUUGUAAUGAACAAAAAAAAAUACAAACUGCAAAAUUAAAUCUGCACAAUGACUAAAAGCUGAACGGGUCAGUCCAUAUAAACAUUUGCAUCACAAUCUCUUCACUGCUCUUUGCUUAGUUUGGCUUUGCAGCUUUGUAGAUGAAGAUUGUAAUGAACGAGCGCCAACUCUUCCAGAUGCUUUCGUUCACAGUGGCUCAUUCCUUCAGUUAGCAACAGCUUCUCUGCUAAGCUUCUCUUCAGCUUGUACCUUGAAGCGCCUUCACAUGUCUGGCUCAGAAUCUUAAUGGCGAAACUCUGCAGCUCUGGGUGUUGGCUCGCCUUUUCAGUCCACCAAUCAACUGCAAAGAGAUUUUAAAACAACAAAUUCUUUUGCUCACUGAUUCAACAACACAAGUACCUCUACAAACAAAACUAGAUCGAAAGUCAAGAAGUUCACUCACUUGGAGAUAUUAUUCCAGCGAUCUGAUCAGGUUGACUGGCCUCAUUAAAGCAAUCUUUACCGAGUCUGUACCUAUCAAGCUGUGCGGCAAUUUUAAUUUGACCUUCUUUGGCCACAUGAACCAGAGAGUGGGUAAGACCGCUGGAAACUUCUGGAUCAAGAUGGAAAUCAGUUGAGUAGAAAGAAGUCGGAUUCAGAUAGUAACCAGCAGCAUGAAGAGGAUUGUGAAGGUGCUUGUUCCAGACAUCAUCUAUCACAUCCCAUAAUGUAAUGUAAUGUUGUUUCUCGUGAUUGAAUUUCUUCGCGAUACUCUCUUUUAUGCCGUCCAAAGUGUCAUAGAUAUAUCCGACAUGCUGAUUGUUGUCGGCAUUUGAAAACAAGAGCAGACCGUGAAUCAGAGGAUAUGUACAUUUCAGAAUGUUUUCAACUGUUUCCCAAAAAGAGGGAUCAUUCACCAAAUUUGAUAUUGCUAAGCCCUCUUCUUUUUUCCAAACAGAUGAAGCAAACAUGGCUGCCAAAUUUUUCUUCGCCUUGAAAAUACUCUUUAGAAUUAGAUACGGCCUAACAAACUCAAACUCGGAGGAGGAGACUGUUAUGUCUUUUCCAUGACUGUGAUCUCUGAAAAUUUUCAAAACUGAGGGGCUGUUGUUGAUGAACUCCCAAAUGGUAUUGACCUUAUCAAGUAUGUCUCCAAAGGAACGCAUUUUCUGAAUGUUCACCAGCAUAAGCUCAAAACAAUGAGAUAGACUCACAGACCAGAAAACUUCCCUGUCAUGACCCGAAAAAAGCUUGCCUAGUUCACCAACCCAACCAGAGGUCGAACAUGCAAUAAUUUGAGUCACGUUACGCACUCCAACUUCCUCAAUGAGCCCAUUUACUAGCGAUAGUAAGGCAGUGCCAUCGUUUUUUAUAACCGAAACAUCGAUGGAUUUCAGGUAUACUGGACCCGCUGGACAGUCUGCAAUAAAGGCAACCAGAUCGCGGCCUUUCGGGUCAAUCCAAGCAUCCAACAAGAUGCUGCACCCGGUGAUCUUCCAGGAAUCUUUAAUCUUCUUCACAUAAACAUGCGCUUCCUUCAAUGCUUCUUGAAGCAUCCAGCCGUUUAAAUCAUGAGAAUCAGGGAUCUUCUGACCACCACCUACUGCCAUCAUCAUUUCUUUGAAACAUGGGGAAUCCACAGCUGAAAGGUCGAGGCAAUGUUCAUAAAAGAAACGACCAAUGCACUUGUGGGCUUUGUUCGACAACAAAUCCUGUUUGUCAGCUUCCACAGCUACAUUCCCGUUCUCAGGAGAAACACUUUCGCUUGAUGAAUCUUCACUCUUCCGACGCUUAUGAGAAUUACCCAUUUGGAAUGUCCCAACUCUCUUAGGAGUAGUAUGACCAGAUUUUUCCUCGAUAAGCAUAGUUCGAAACGUCUCUCUAAGAGUAAGUGAAACUUGGUCACAGUGAGUUACGUCUGUACCAACAGCACCCAAGUGGUGUUUAAGACGAUUAAAGGAAUUCAUUUCUUUCCCACAGUGAUUGCAUUUAACCCGAGAUUUCUUCUUGGCCACACGAAUUCCAUGCUCAUGAAUAUCCAUGACAGUACCAGACAUUUUAAAGCUUCCUUUAAUUGACAAAACACAGAUAGUGAAUCAGACUUGGAAGCAUUUGUCGAUUCUAACAACUCAGAGAUUACCUGUACAGCAACCCAAUAUCAAAAUUAGAGAAACAAACAUCAAAAUCAAAAUUUGAAAGGCUUUAAUUCGACACAGAAUUCACUAACUUGACAUCAGAGUAACUGAAAUCAUUCCAAGUUCAUGGACAGAAGAAAAAACGAAACUUUAAACCCUAAAAUUGACCAAAAAAACCGACCAUAUAAGAAUUAUCGAAAUUAAUCAUCAUCCUUUAAGAGAAGUCAAUCGCCUCCAUAGUGACACCAAAAGAUCAAAGCAAACAACUUUUAUACAAAAGAACAAACCCAAACUAAAACCAAAACCCAUUGUUCUUUGCUGCUUGUAAGGCGAUGAGUAAUUAAUUACCCGAGUCAACAAAGUCGUGUCGGAAAACAAGAAACAACGAAACCCUUGUUUCUCCUUAUUCCACCAAAAGAGAGGGAAUGUGGAAGACGAACUUGUAUAUGAUUGUGUUUGUUCGUGUACAUGAAGCUCCAAUUCCUUAUUGUAGUCUCCCUCUUUUCUCAUUAAUUGGGCUAUUGGGCCACCAUCUCUGUCGUUGUGGCCCAUAAAAACUAAAAAUUAAUGAAGAAGCUAAUUAAUCCAAAGUUUGUUAAUAAGACUUAACCCAUACGAUUCAUUCUGUGAUUACAAAAGAAGACCAAAAUUUCUCAGAAUGGAUCUAAAACAUCCAGAGAUUCUGGGGAUUAUGAUGUUUCUCACUGAAGCACACAGGAAUUAAUGAUGCGUAUAGCUGCUUGAUUCACCAGUAUUGAUUGAUUCUAAAGGUGUGAGCUUUGAUGAAUAUACUAACUAAAAUCUGAACGGGUCAGUCCAUAUAAACAUCUUGCACCACAAUCUCGUCACUUAACUUGGCUUUGCAGCUUUGUAGAUGAAGAUUGUAAUGAACGAACACCAACUCAUCCAGCUGCUGUUGUUCACAAUGACUCAUUCCUUCAGUGAGUAACAGCUUCUCUGCUAAGCUUCUCUUCACCUUGUACUUUGAAGCACCUUCACAUGUCUGGCUCAGAAUUUUAAUGGCGAAGCUCUGCAGUUCUGGGUACUGGCUCGCCUUAUGAGCCCACCACUCAGCUACAAAGAGAUUUAAAAACCACAGAAACUUUUGAUCACCGAUUCAUCUUCAACCACUCAAGUGUCUGCAAACAAAACAGCUAUAUCGAAAUUCAACAAGUUCACUCACCUGGAGAGAUUCCAGUGAUCUGAUCAGCUUGACUCGCCUCGUUCAAACAAUCUUUACCGAGUCUGUACAUAUCAAUCUGUGUGGAAAUUUUAUAUUGAAUGUGACAAUCUUCUACCAUAUGAAUCAGAGAGGAGAUAAGACCAGUGGCAACUUCUAGAUCAAGAUGGAAAUCAGUUGAGUAGAAAGCAGUCGGGUUCAGAAAGUAACCAGCAGCAUGUAGAGGAUUGUGAAGAUGCUUGUUCCAAACAUCAUCUAUCACAUCCCAUAACGGCUUGUAAAAUUGUGGCUUCUGAUUGAAUUCUCUCGCGAUACUCUCCUUUAUGCUGUCCAUAGUGUCAUAAAUAUAUCCAAGAUGCUGAUCUUUGGCAGUUGAAAACAAGAGCAGACCGCGAAUCAGAUGAGAUGUACAUUUCAGAACACUUUCAACUGUUUCCCAAAAAGAGGAAUCAUUCAUCAAAUUUGUUAUCGCUAUGCCCUCUUCUUUAUUCCAUUCAGAUGAAGCAAACAUGGCUGUCAAGUUUUUCUUCGCCUUGAAAAUACUCUCUAGAAUUAGAUAUGGCAUCACAAAAUCAAACUCAGAGGUGGAGACUGUUAUGUCUAUACCAUGACUGUGAUCUCUGAAAAUUUUCAAAACCGAGGGAUUGUUGUUGAUGAACUCCCAGAUGUUAUUGACUUUGUCAAGUAUAUCUCCAAAGGAAAGCAUUUUCCCAAUCUUCGCCAGCAUAAGCUCGAAACAAUGGGAUACACUCACAGACCAGAAAACUUCCCUGUCACGACCCGCAAAUAGCUCGCCCAAUUCACCAACCCAACCAGAGGUUGAACAUGCAAUAAUUUGAGUCACAUUACGCACUCCAACUUCCUCAACAAGCCCAUUUACUAGCGAUAGUAAGGCAGUGACAUCGUCUUUAAAAUCUGAAACAUCAAAUGAUAUCAGAUACACUGGACCCGCUGGAC